GAGUGGCUGAAUGCCACCUCACCAGGCCUGGACAUGGACAGGAUUGACAGAUUGAUAACUCUUUCUUGAUUUCGUGGGUGGUGGUGGUACAUGGCCGUUCUUAGUUGGAUGAGCCAUUUGUCUGGUUAAUUCAAAUAGCGAAUGAGACUAUGGCAUGCUAACUAGUUAUUUGACCCCCUAUUGGUUGGUGUCCCCCAACUUCUUAGAGGGAUAAGUGGCAUUCAGCCACCGGAGAUUGAGCAAUAACAGGUCUGGGAUGCCCUUAGAUGUCCCGGGCUGCAGGCACGCUA
rnacentral:ncRNA from 1 species